UGACAUCUACGAUGUUCAAGAGAUGCGGUGUUUAUGUAUCGACCCAUCGUGCAUUGUUCCAUAUUUCAAGUUCCUACGACCGGGACUUCCAGAGCGGGUGUAAGACCCAUAGAGAUGUGGAACCAAUGUAUGCUGAGCGAUGCAUUCUAGAGUCAGGUUGCUUGAGAGUGCAGCUUAAAGUCGGUGGUAAACUCCAUCCAAGACUAAAUAUUACAGCGAGACCGAUAGCAAACAAGUACCGUGAGGGAAAGUUGCAAAGCACUUUGAAGAGAGAGUUCAAAAGUACGUGAAACCACUGGGAGGCAAACAGAUGGAACCACGAAGUUGCGCUUCGGUCGAUUCAAUCAUCACUGCUGGUCAGUUGUUAAUAAUUAGGAUCUUUUCGAAGAUUGAUUAUUAACAUUUGAGAUAAGUAGUGUUGGUGCAUUUCGUGCCGAGGAUGCAAACCCACGUUCAACUAGAGUUGGGACGGCUGUAAGACAGAAUCUAAAAAAGGUGCCCGUCACAUGCUUGCAUUUGACGGCGUUAUAGUCUUGGAUUGGAACCGUCACCAAACAUACUGGUUGAUGUAAAUUCUCCAAUUUGGAGUUGAACCAUAUCUGCCUGUGAUUAUUAGUCAUUGUUGAGUAAUAUUCUUUGCGUAUCUUUCGAUGCGAAAAGAUGUUACGAAAUGUUGGCUAAUGGUUGCUUGCGUGAUAUGGUGGAACUGUGGCGCGAGUAGGUCGGUCUCCAUCUGACCCGUCUUGAAACACGGACCAAGGAGCCUAUCAUAUACGCGAGUCGCUCGGUCUUGUUUAGGCCUGAGAGGCAUAAUGAAAGUAAAGUUACGAAGCUUCGGCUGCAGUAAUGGCUCGCCCACUUUGUUUAUUGGCAAUAUGGCGAAGCUGGAGCGUAUACGAUGGUACCCGAAAGAUGGUGAACUAUGCCUGGGCAAGACGAAGCCAGAGGAAACUCUGGUGGAGGUCUGUAGCGAUUCUGACGUGCAAAUCGAUCGUCAGACCUGGGUAUAGGGGCGAAAGACUAAUCGAACCAUCUAGUAGCUGGUUCCCUCCGAAGUUUCCCUCAGGAUAGCAGGCGUUUAUUGAAGUAGUCUCAUCCGGUAAAGCUAAUGAUUAGAGGUCUUGGGGUUGAAACGACCUCAACCUAUUCUCAAACUUUAAAUGGGUGAGAUGGUUGACUUUCUUAGCUUUGAAGCCAACCAUUUGGAUACAAAUGCCUAGUGGGCCAUUUUUGGUAAGCAGAACUGGCGCUGUGGGAUGAACCAAACGUCGAGAUAAGGCAUCAAAUGCGUACGCUCAUCAGACCCCAUGAAAGG
rnacentral:rRNA from 1 species